rnacentral:rRNA from 1 species
AUUGAACGCUGACGGCAGGCCUAACACAUGCAAGUCGAGCGAGCGGCGGACGGGUGAGUAAUGCCUGGGAAACUGCCUGAUGGAGGGGGAUAACUACCGGAAACGGUAGCUAAUACCGCAUACCAUCAGAUGUGCCUAGAUGGGAUUAGCUAGUUGGUGGGGUAAUGGCUCACCUAGGCGACGAUCCCUAGCUGGUCUGAGAGGAUGACCAGCCACACUGGAACUGAGACACGGUCCAGACUCCUACGGGAGGCAGCAGUGGGGAAUAUUGCACAAUGGGCGCAAGCCUGAUGCAGCCAUGCCGCGUGUGUGAAGAAGGCCUUCGGGUUGUAAAGUACUUUCAGCUGGGAGGCGUUACCCGCAGAAGAAGCACCGGCUAACUCCGUGCCAGCAGCCGCGGUAAUUC